UACGUAGGGACCAAGCGUUGUUCGGAUUUACUGGGCGUAAAGGGCGCGUAGGCGGCAAAUCAAGUCAUCUGUGAAAUCUCCGGGCUUAACUCGGAACGGUCAGAUGAUACUGCUUUGCUAGAGUGCGGAAGGGGCAAUCGGAAUUCUCGGUGUAGCGGUGAAAUGCGUAGAUAUCGUUUGGAACGCCAAUGGUGAAAACAGACGACUGGGAGUGUGCUGACGCUGAGACACGAAAGCCAGGGGAGCGAACGGG
rnacentral:rRNA from 1 species